GAUGAAGAACGUAGCGAAAUGCGAUAAGUAGUGUGAAUUGCAGAAUUCAGUGAAUCAUCGAAUCUUUGAACGCACAUUGCGCCCUUUGGUAUUCCUUAGGGCAUGCCUGUUCGAGCGUCAUCUAAACCUUCAAGCCCUGCUUGGUGUUGGGUGCCUGUCCCGCCUCCGCGCGUGGACUCACCUCAAAUCCAUUGGCGGCCCCCGCGUCGGCCACGAGCGCAGCAGAAACGCGAACUCGUGAGCCCGUCCGGGCGGCUCCCAGAAGCUAACCCCCAAUUUUUGACCUCGGAUCAGGUAGGGAUACCCGCUGAACUUAAGCAUAUCAAUAAGCGGAGGA
rnacentral:misc_RNA from 1 species